rnacentral:rRNA from 1 species
UACGUAGGGUGCGAGCGUUAAUCGGAAUUACUGGGCGUAAAGUGUGCGCAGGCGGCGCCGCAAGUCGAGUGUGAAAGCCCCGGGCUUAACUUGGGAAUUGCGCUCGAAACUAUGGUGCUGGAGUGUGGCAGAGGAAGGUGGAAUUCCACGUGUAGCGGUGAAAUGCGUAGAGAUGUGGAGGAACACCGAUGGCGAAGGCAGGUCUCUGGGCCACUACUGACGCUGGAGAAGCGAAAGCGUGGGGAGCGAACAGG